rnacentral:rRNA from 1 species
UGAACGCGAAGAACCUUACCAGGUCUUGACAUCCUCUGACAAUCCUAGAGAUAGGACUUCCCCUUCGGGGGCAGAGUGACAGGUGGUGCAUGGUUGUCGUCAGCUCGUGUCGUGAGAUGUUGGGUUAAGUCCCGCAACGAGCGCAACCCUUGAUCUUAGUUGCCAGCAUUCAGUUGGGCACUCUAAGGUGACUGCCGGUGACAAACCGGAGGAAGGUGGGGAUGACGUCAAAUCAUCAUGCCCCUUAUGACCUGGGCUACACACGUGCUACAAUGGACAGAACAAAGGGCAGCGAAACCGCGAGGUUAAGCCAAUCCCACAAAUCUGUUCUCAGUUCGGAUCGCAGUCUGCAACUCGACUGCGUGAAGCUGGAAUCGCUAGUAAUCGCGGAUCAGCAUGCCGCGGUGAAUACGUUCCCGGGUCUUGUACACACGCA